CGCGAAGAGGUCGAUUCAAGAGGAAAGGGCAUUGCGGACUAGUCUACGGCCGGUUAAAGGUGAGUAAUAGAUGUAAAUGCUGUUCUAAGGGUUUGAAACCCCAGACUUUCACAUCGUAACGCUAUAUUGAGGCGUCACACGCACUCCAUGGCGAGUGCGGGGUCGGAUACUAUUGGGGAUUGUGACUUGGUCCAUCCCGUGUGAUGUUUAUGCUAUACUGGUGAUUGAUACACAUACUUCAUUGAUAUUACUGGGCUUGAUGCCAUGUUUGGGGCCUUGUGCCGAUUUGUAAAAUCCUUCGAGGAUUGAUAUUACUGCUUAGCAUGAUUUGCAUAUCAUUUAAUUUCAGUCCAAGGUUUUAAAUGCUGUUUUGCAAACUCAGCCAUAAUUCUAAGUGUUGAAAACUUAAAUGAUAUUUUUAAAUGUAUUCCGGGCUGGAACUUCUGUUUUGUAAAUGCCCAAGGGGCUUAUUAUAUUAUUUCCUGGAUUGAUUAUAAAGUGACUUGAAACAGUGGUAACAAUGACACUGUGUGAUAUAUUUGAAACAGUGGUAACAAUGACACUGGAUGAUAUACUUGAACAGUGGUAACAAUGGCACUGUAUGAUAUAAAUUGGUCAGGUAACAAUGGCUGACCGGUCAGGUAACAAUGACUGACCAAGAUAUUGCGCUUGGGCUGUAGGAGCCCCUCCGGAGUAUGUACACACCCCCAGUGAGCGCCGUCGACGAUAAAUAAAUAUGGAUGGCUCGGGCUGCACGCCGCAGUGGGUACUGGAAUGUACCAUCAUAUGUAUUGCAUUGCAUUCAUGUAUUUCUAUGUAUACCGUUAUUUAGCUGCUCAGUUCCAUAUGUUGCUGUAUAUUUGGAUUUUAACUUACUUUGUGUAUUUACUGGAUUUUCUUAUCUUCGGACUGUAGUUACUUUUAUUACUCACUGGGUCGGAGUACUCACUUUACUCCCUGCACCUUGUGUGCAGAUCCAGGACAGUCUCAAGCUCAGUAGAUCCAGUUGAUCAGCAGAUCCAGCUUCUGGGAGUAUCGAGGUAGCUGCACGGCGUUCGCAGCCAUUGAUCUUCUCCCUCCUAUCCUAUCUCUUUAUUUCCGCAUUAUCAGACUUUGGAUAUACCAUGUAUUAGGAUGAUAUUCUGUAUUCUAGAGGCUCAGAACGUGACACCGGG
rnacentral:lncRNA from 1 species